rnacentral:rRNA from 1 species
AGAACGAACGCUGGCGGCAGGCUUAACACAUGCAAGUCGAACGCUCCGCAAGGGGAGUGGCAGACGGGUGAGUAACGCGUGGGAAUCUACCCAAUUCUUCGGAACAACUGAGGGAAACUUCAGCUAAUACCGGAUACGCCCUACGGGGGAAAGAUUUAUCGGAGUUGGAUGAGCCCGCGUUGGAUUAGCUAGUUGGUGGGGUAAUGGCCUACCAAGGCGACGAUCCAUAGCUGGUCUGAGAGGAUGAUCAGCCACACUGGGACUGAGACACGGCCCAGACUCCUACGGGAGCAGCAGUGGGGAAUAUGGACAAUGGGCGCAAGCCUGAUCCAGCCAUGCGCGUGAGUGAUGAAGGCCUUAGGGUUGUAAAGCUCUUUCAGUGGGGAAGAUAAUGAACGGUACCCAACAGAAAGAAGACCCCGGCUAACUUCGUGCCAAGCAGCCGC